CCUACGGGAGGCAGCAGUGAGGAAUAUUGGUCAAUGGACGAGAGUCUGAACCAGCCAAGUAGCGUGAAGGAUGACUGCCCUAUGGGUUGUAAACUUCUUUUAUAUGGAAAUAAAAUGUUCCACGUGUGGCAUUUUGUAUUUACCAUAUGAAUAAAGAUAGGCUAACUCCGUGCCAGCAGCCGCGGUAAUACGGUGGAUCCGAGCGUUAUCCGGAUUUAUUGGGUUUAAAGGGAGCGUAGGUGGAUUGUUAAGUCAGUUGUGAAAUUUUGCGGAUCAACCGUAAAAUUGCAGUUGAAACUGGCAGUCUUGAGUACAGUAGAGGUGUGCAGAAUUCGAGGUGUAGCGGUGAAAUGCGUAGAUAUCACGAAGAACUCCGAUGGCGAAGGCAGUUCACUGGACGGCAACUGACACUGAGGCUCGAAAGUGUGGGUAUCAAACAGGAUUAGAGACCCGUGUAGUC
rnacentral:rRNA from 1 species